UACAUUUUAAUGAUGAGACCAUAGUUCAUCUGAACUCUUUGAUGUAUAACAUUUAUUGUCUUUCGCUCCUAUCUGAUAAAUAUC